rnacentral:snoRNA from 1 species
UCUGUCCUAAGAGGCAUUACAGGUGUGGGUGCUGUGUCACAUGUGCCUCAGGAGGUGGCACAGAGGAGAGCAGCAAUGUCUAUGCUCAGCAUUUCUUACCUAUGAACAUUUGCAGCAAGUGGGAGACCUAG